rnacentral:rRNA from 1 species
GACAGAGGCCUCAAGCGUUAGGCGGAAUCACUGGGCUUAAAGCGUGUGUAGGCGGAUGCCUAAGUACCUUGUGAAAUCCCACGGCUCAACCGUGGAACUGCUGGGUAUACUGGGCGUCUUGGGCCAUUCAGGGGCGACUGGAACAAGCGGUGGAGCGGUGAAAUGCGUAGAUAUCAUUUGGAACGCCAAUGGUGAAAACAACUCGCUGGGGAAGUGCUGACGCUGAGACACGAAAGCCAGGGGAGCGAACGGG